rnacentral:rRNA from 1 species
AUGUUGUCCCAGCCUUUUGAUGCUGUAAGAAAGGAUGCGGAUCUACUUGACGCAGCGACGGAAUGCUUUGUGGCCUACUCAGGAUUGUACCAGGACAAAGGGGGUGGUGUCUACGCUCAGGCUUCAAAUCCAAACUUGUGUAAUGUAUUUUAUGUUCUAUUGCUGUGGCCUUUUGUAAGCUGGUUGGACCAGCAGUUAUUAUAUUUAUACUUAUGUAUGAUACACCUUGCUUUAGUUAAAACGGAUGGCCUCCAUGCCUUUUGUCUUAAGUAUCUAACUUUGCAAUUCAUGAAUGCAUACAAACGGAAUGUUUGCAACCUUGUUUCUGCUAGUUUCAGCGAAUAA